GCCUGACCACCAGGCUGUUCUGUUUCAGCAGUCUGAUUCCUGUAUGAUGAUCACAAACAUCCCAUUGCAGUUCACUGUUGGGGGCUUCAAGAUGAUUUUCCAACAAGCUUUCCAGUGUAAUAUCCAUGUGUAAACGAGAACCAGUUAUUUUAUGCUGUCUGCCUGCCAGUGGGGAUACUGCCAGUCUGGUCAGGCUGAAGGAGAGAGCAGAGCAGUGGUUGUACCUGAUCAAGCGCACUAGGACAGGUCACCUGGUACCCACAGCACCUCACUGGACUCUUUGGGUGGAAAUUAACAAAGAGAAUGAUCAACUGAACCUUACUGAAGGAAUCAAGACGGACAGAAGGAAGCCUUCUGGGGUAACCAUGUGUCCCAAUUCUCUCAACAAGGAAAAAAUGUUCUGGGAAACAGAUCCUUGGACUCUCUAGGACUACUAGAAGACCACCUAGGGCAGCCAGCAUCCAUACAACCAGCUUUCCAAAGCAUGCAACAACCUCCUCAGCUGCCCUGGAGCACCACAGGAGGCAAUCUGUGUGGCAGGUAAUAUCAGGAGGCCAGAAAGGCCUGUACAGGACUUAACGUUGUUUUCUUUUUCACCCAUCGCCAAUCUCAGACUUACACCUUCCUUCUAUUAGAGUUCCAUAGAUGUUGUCCAAUUGGGAACUGUAUGUACUGGUUAGUUGGGAGAGGCAAGGGAGAGCA
rnacentral:lncRNA from 1 species